rnacentral:rRNA from 1 species
UUGACCUCAAAUCGGGUGAGACUACCCGCUGAACUUAAGCAUAUCAAUAAGCGGAGGAAAAGAAACUAACAAGGAUUCCCCUAGUAACUGCGAGUGAAGCGGGAAAAGCUCAAAUUUAAAAUCUGGUGGUCUUUGGCCACCCGAGUUGUAAUUUAGAGAAGCGUCUUCCGCGCUGGACCGUGCACAAGUCUCCUGGAAUGGAGCGUCAUA